GGCUCAUAGGCAGAAGGAACUUGCUUGUCUCAGAUGAGACUUUGAACUUGGACUUCAAGUUAAUACUGGAAUGAAUUAACGCUCUGGAGAAUUGUUGGGAAGAUUUAUACAAUGAAACGUCCUGUGUUUGAUCAUUUCUCUGGAUUUAUACAAUGAAAAGUUGUCCUGUCUUUGAUCGAUUCUCUGGAACUAGCAAGAAAUAAAAUAAACUAUCAGUUCAGAGGGAUAGAUAUGAAGGUUAAAUUCCUGAGAUUACUAAACCUGAAAACAUAUAUGUUAUCUACACUGGCAACAAAGAAGUCUCCAGGGAAAAUUGUGAAAUGCCAUUGGAAGUAAAGAGUUAAUGACUAUAUGGAAAAGGAAAAAAAUCCCAAUAGAUGACUAUUAAUCACAAAUACAACUUCUACCAUCAGUCACAGAAUAACUGAUUUAUAACCUUGGAAGGAUGUGAUUCUGAAACUGCCUGAACCACCUUUCCUGGCUGUGUCAAGGAAGCUUGUCCGCAGGAUAAUAGAAAAAAGAAGAGUACAGCAGAAACAUUUCUAAGGCAUUAAGCUAGGAUAUGUGCCCAGGAUUUAGUGAUGACAACCAUAUUUGGAGACCAGAGGAUGUGGAGACAACAGAGUUAACCCUGAGAUUCUGACCUUUGUAUUAAUCAGGCACCAGGAUCAAUAAAGAAAAGAAUUAUCCCAUUGAAGCUCAUCUCUGAGGGAUUGUCACAGCAUGUAGCUGGACAAGUGUAUUAGUUCAUUCUCACACUGCUAUACAGAAAUACUUGAGACUGGGUAACUCAUAAAGAAAAUAAAUUUAAUUGACUCAUAAUUCUGCAGGCUGUACAGGAAGCAUAGUGGCUUCUACAUCUGGGGAAGCCUCAGGAAACUUACAAUCAUGGCAGAAGGCAAAGUGGGAGCAGCAUCUUCACAUGGCUAGAGCAGGAGGAGGAGAACUGCUACAUACUUUAAAACCACCAGAUCAUGUGAUAACUCACUCACUCACUAUCAUAAGAACAGCACAGAAUGGAUGAUGAUAAACCAUUCAGGAGAACUCUCCCCUUUUGGUCCAAUCACCUCCCAUCAGGCCCCACCUCCAACCCUGGGGAUUACAACUCAACAUGAGAUUUGGGUGGGGACAGAAAUCCAAACCAUGUCAAUGAAACCGAGUGUUAUUUACCCACAGGGCUGCCGUAUUUUAAGGCCUACCUUGGCACAAUCCCCUCCUUGAGACACCUGUGAGUUCCUGCCAAAAUGUUCGCAAACUUGCUAAUUCCUGCCUCUUUUUUGUGGGAGGUAAAAGUGUACUAUCCAUCAGUUGGUUCUGUGUCCUCCAAUAUCUGAGUGAUAAACAUUCUGGGAUUUUGUGAGUUCCUGUUUCCUUGGGGAGGUAAGAGGAUAAAAAGGACUUACGUGCAUACCUGAUGAAAUGUCAGGCGAUAUCCUGUACCAUAUUAGAGGAUAAAACCAUGAGAAACUGGUCUGGAUGAUAAUCUUGGCAAUAUGGGAUUUGGGGUACUACUGUGAAGUGACAUUGAUUGUACUCAAAGCUUUAAGAGCUGGAGACACAUACAUGUGUUGUGCACGCACACACACACACACACACACACACAUAUGUAUAGUAUCCCAAUGCUUGGAUUAUGAUGGUUGCUUAUUGAAUGAUAGCAAUCAGAGUUGUUACUGUUAUUAUUACCAUUACUGAUACUACUAAUACUGCUGUCACUAUAGUUUUACCUUAGCCAUACUCAGAUUAUGUUUUACGGAAAUAAUAAUGAUUAAUCUAUAAACUCACUAGCUAGUUCAGUCUUCCAUUCCACAGAGAACUUCACCAGCAUAGCGUCCUACAACAUAAAACAGUAUGCUUUAUUUCAUGACACACUUUACAAAUUUUUAUUAAAUGACAGAAUGAAUUCUAAAUGUUGACAAAAUUGUUCUGAGGUAUGCAUUCCACAUGGCUAUGAAUCCACAUGAUUCUGUCAUUAUGAAUGGAAAAGAAAAUGAAACAACUAAUUCGAGCUAGUGUUAUUUUAAUUCAACUUUGGACUUGUCCAUGCUUUGAAUUUUAAAAGCCAGCUCUCUUGUUUUUCGACAUGGUUCUUAUAAAUGCAACUUUGUUUGACUCUGUCAUAGGCAGCAUUAAGAUGGAAGUUACAGAUGUUCUUAGACUGCGCUUACUUAAGCAUUGCCAGCCACUUGAGGGUGGCUCUUGGCAAGGGCAAAGCUGUCAAAACUCACAGGUUGUGCCCAUAUGCGAAGGCUUGUGCCUUUUACUACAUCUCCUUUAAUUUCAAACAUUUUGGAACCAGUGGCUCAGAACACAAUAUCCUGUAGAGCUGGGCUCAUACUUCAGUGAAAGGGAACAACUUUGCAGAUGAUCAACUUUUACAAUUUCUGUUCAUCGUGUGGUUGAUAGAGAAACAAUGAAAAUAGACAGUGUAUUCUUUUCUCCUGCUUUAUCUUAUUUUAAUCCGGGGUCAUGUAAAACUUGCUAAAUCAGUUGGGUUUACAAGUUUUCAGGUGAAACUACUGUUGUUCCUGUACUUUUCCUGUGAAGGUUACAGAAUUUUUCCACAGGCCCCACCUCUCCCUAUUCUAGGCCAGUGAGCUGAGAACAAUCAGAAAGAUAUGACCGGCUGCUGGAUUUUACCCUGUGAUUAUGAAGAUGAAGGGAAGAUAUGUGUCUAAGUGAUGUUUUCUUACUGUAAUUAGAAAGAAGUACAAUUAAAAUUUCUACUUACUUUAAAAUAAUCUCAAACAGCUCUAUUUUAUGCAGCUAUGAGUCUCUACCUGGAAAUUUAUACUGUUGUUUGGCUGCUAUGUAACUGACUUGAGGCAAAUGGUUAAAAAAUAGCACAAAGUACACAACAUCAGUAAAACCUAAUGAAACAAAUUUUGCAAAUGAUAGGAGCCCUGAUAAUACAUGAGAAAGAAGAGAAAGAAUAUGAGACACUAUUGUAUGAGAAUGGCUGAAAGUAUUACUAUAUACAACAAAAGAUGGUAAUAAAACAUUUGUGUAUAAACUUAAAUAUAUUAGAUUGGAACACACAAAAAUUAGAUCUUUUUAAAAAACCAAUGGUUUAAUAUUGAUUUUACAAUAGUGCUGAGAUGAAGGACUUUGGAAUUCCAAUUUUUGGAAACAGCAGCAGUUAGGUACAAUCAAUACAUUCAUGAGGUGAAGAUACUGCCUAGGGGAAGCUCUCUGGCCCAGAUUUGUCUCUGUCUCUGAAAAUAUUUUUGAAAGGUUCUUCACUUUUAAGGACCUAUUUCAUUAGGUUGAUUCCUAAUCAAAGAUAAUCUCCUAAUCUUGUGAUCCUUAAUUUAAUCAAAUAUUCAAAGUACCUUUCACCAUGUAGAAUAGCAUUUCUGCAGAUUCUACAGAUUGACAUGUGAACAUCUUUGGGAACCUUAAUUCUGACUAUCAUACUUAGAUUUGUUUAUUUUUCUUUUGGUGGGUUCUGCUAGGUAAAUUAGUAUAACCUUGAGUGUAUGUGUGAUUAUUAGAGUAAGGUGUAACAUAUUAG
rnacentral:lncRNA from 10 species